rnacentral:rRNA from 1 species
CCUACGGGAGGCAGCAGUGGGGAAUAUUGGACAAUGGGCGAAAGCCUGAUCCAGCCAUGCCGCGUGUGUGAAGAAGGCCUUCGGGUUGUAAAGCACUUUCAGUGGGGAAGAAAGCCUUGGGGCUAAUACCCUCGAGGAAGGACAUCACCCACAGAAGAAGCACUGGCUAACUCCGUGCCAGCAGCCGCGGUAAUACGGAGGGUGCGAGCGUUAAUCGGAAUUACUGGGCGUAAAGCGCGCGUAGGCGGUCUGAUAAGCCGGUUGUGAAAGCCCCGGGCUCAACCUGGGAACGGCAUCCGGAACUGUCAGGCUAGAGUGCAGGAGAGGAAGGUAGAAUUCCCGGUGUAGCGGUGAAAUGCGUAGAGAUCGGGAGGAAUACCAGUGGCGAAGGCGGCCUUCUGGACUGACACUGACGCUGAGGUGCGAAAGCGUGGGUAGCAAACAGGAUUAGAUACCCUUGUAGUC